GACGAACGCUGGCGGCGUGCUUAACACAUGCAAGUCGAACGGAAAGGCCCUGCUUUUGUGGGGUGCUCGAUUGGCGAACGGGUGAGUAACACGUGAGUAACCUGCCCUUGACUUUGUGAUAACUUCAGGAAACUGGGGCUAAUACCGGAUAGGAUCUCCUGCUGCAUGGUGGGGGUUGGAAAGUUUCGGCGGUUGGGGAUGGACUCGCGGCUUAUCAGCUUGUUUGUGGGGUAGUGGCUUACCAAGGCUUUGACGGGUAGCCGGCCUGAGAGGGUGACCGGACACAUUGGGACUGAGAUACGGACCAGACUGCAACGGGAGGCAGCAGUGGGGAAUAUUGCACAAUGGGCGGAAGCCUGAUGCAGCAACGCCGCGUGCGGGAUGACGGCCUUCGGGUUGUAAACCGCUUUCGACUGUGACGAAGCGUGAGUGACGGUAAUGGGUAAAGAAGCACCAGCUAACUACGUG
rnacentral:rRNA from 1 species